rnacentral:rRNA from 1 species
UUAGGAAUAUUCGUCAAUGGGGGAAACCCUGAACGAGCAAUGCCGCGUGAAGGAAGACGGUCCUAUGGAUUGUAAACUUCUGUUGUUAGGGAAGAACGACCUAAGUAGGAAAUGACUUAGGAGUGACGGUACCUUUCAAGAAAGCUCCGGCUAACUACGUGCCAGCAGCCGCGGUAAUACGUAGGGAGCGAGCGUUAUCCGGAAUUAUUGGGUGUAAAGGGUGCGUAGGCGGCAUAAUAAGUCAGUGGUGAAAGCCCGGAGCUUAACUCCGGUAAGCCAUUGAAACUGUUAAGCUUGAGUAUGGUAGAGGCAAGCGGAAUUUCUAGUGUAGCGGUAAAAUGCGUAGAUAUUAGAAGGAACACCAGUGGCGAAGGCGGCUUGCUGGGCCAAAACUGACGCUGAGGCACGAAAGCGUGGGGAGCAAAUAGG